rnacentral:rRNA from 1 species
CCUACGGGGGGCUGCAGUAAGGAAUAUUGGUCAAUGGAGGAAACUCUGAACCAGCCAUCCCGCGUGAAGGAUGAAGGGGCUCUGCCUUGUAAACUUCUUUUGUCUGGGGCGAAAAAGCUCGAUUUAUCGAGAACUGACGGUACCAGAAGAAUAAGCACCGGCUAACUCCGUGCCAGCAGCCGCGGUUAUACGGAGGGUGCCAGCGUUACUGGGUGUCACGGGGGCGUAGGGGUGUUUGUGCGUCAGUGUUGAAAGCCGGUGGCUUAACCAUGGAAUUGCCAUUGAUACUGCAGAGCUUGAAUGAGGUUGAGGUUGGCGGAAUGUGACAUGUAGCGGUGAAAUGCUUAGAUAUGUCAUGGAACACCGAUUGCGAAGGCAGCUGACUGGACCUAUAUUGACGCUGAGGCACGAAAGCGUGGGGAGCGAACAGGAUUAGAUACCCCGGUAGUC